rnacentral:miRNA from 1 species
UACACACUUAUACACUGUCUAGGUGUAUUUUACUAAUAUAUAUAUAUAUAUAUAUAUAUAUAUAUAUAUAUAUAUAUAUAUAUAUAUAUAUAAUAGUAAAAUACACCUAGACAGUGUAUAAGUUUAUU